AAGGAUCAUUAUCGAAUAAAAUUGAACAGGCUGUUGCUGGUCCCACCCCUCGGGUUAGGGCAUGUGCACGCUUGUCAUCUUUAUCAUUUCUCCAACUGUGCACCUCUUGUAGACCCUGGGGCAUGUUUGAAUGUUCUGUUUCGAGUUGGGACUGCCAUUCGGCUUUGCCCUUGCAUCUCCAGGUCUAUGUUUUCACAAACAAACUUGUUUAGAAUGUGUUGGCAAUAAUAAUAAUAAAAGUUAUACAACUUUCAGCAACGGAUCUCUUGGCUCUC
rnacentral:misc_RNA from 1 species